CAGAGACUUGCUGCUACUAAAAGGGACUGGGUCACUGACCUCUGUCUAGUGAGGAACAUUUCUGAAAAGGUUUUAGCAGGCUGAAGAGCAGAAGCCACCUUGAGGUUAGCAGAGCUGCUGGGACUCCUGCGGUGUUUUUGUCUCUCAGACAAACCCCUGGAGCAGCAGGAGGUCAGGUGGAGCCACGUCGGGGCCUUGGAGACUCGGCUGAGAGGUGUGAUGGAAGAUGGGGCGUGAUGGAAGAUGGGACAUGAAAGUGCUGCGGCUGCACUGACAUUCUUAUGGCCCUCACUCCAAGCACUUCUCACCACUCAAACCAGCGGCCCCAAGUAAAGCUUUUGGGGGCACUGAGAGUCCAUGCCUGAGUGAGGUACUGAAGGACAGACUCAGUGAUGGGAGAGCACAUUGAUUUUCUCAAUGCCUAUGGCUCUAUUUUCUCCCACUCCAAAGAACCAAGGCAAAAUUCAGCAUAAGUCAAGGUCCAGGCUUUGAAAGAAAUCCAGGUGUUUGUUCUCCUGUAAAAGGAGCACGUCAUAAACCCAGCACACACCCCAGGCCUGAGACGCCCACUCCUUCCUACCAGGGGAACCUGGCCAUGUUCUUCGUGGAGAAGGCACCUCCAGCAGGUGGCCACCACAGCAGCAUCCGGUGUGACUCAGUGGCCCCUGAGCUGGCAUGUCUGCUGGGCCUGCUCCCUC
rnacentral:lncRNA from 1 species